UACGUAGGGGGCAAGCGUUAUCCGGAUUUACUGGGUGUAAAGGGAGCGUAGACGGCAGGGCAAGUCUGGAGAGAAAGGCAGGGGCCCAACCCCUGGACUGCUCUGGAAACUGUCCGGCUGGAGUGCAGGAGAGGUAAGUGGAAUUCCUAGUGUAGCGGUGAAAUGCGUAGAUAUUAGGAGGAACACCAGUGGCGAAGGCGGCUUACUGGACUGUAACUGACGUUGAGGCUCGAAAGCGUGGGGAGCAAACAGG
rnacentral:rRNA from 1 species